AACCAAUUGGCAAAAAAUGUGUG
rnacentral:siRNA from 1 species